AUGAUAGGCAACAUUCAAAAUGAGAAAAGGAAGCACGAAUCAUCUUGGAAAUUUGCAAAGCUGCUCAUAAACAAAGACAAAUCAUGGGAGAAAACUGACAUAAAACUAGAUAUAGGAAUCAUUUCUUUUGGAGAAACAGAAGGAAAUGGAUCAGAGAAAGUAGAUGUACUAGGAAAGAAAGAAGAUAAAGAGGAAAAAGAUGAUAAUAAUAAUCCUCCACCAUUAAUUCCUACAAGUACAACACCAUUGCUUAUAGCAACUAGUGCAGGUAUAGUUGAGAUCGUUAAUGGAAUACUAGAGGAGUAUCCUCAGGCAGUAGAGCAUGUUAGUGACCAGGGACUUAGCAUUAUGCAUGUCGCAAUUAGGUACCGUCAGAGAGAUAUUUUUUAACGUGUAAAGAAGAUGAAGAUUCCGAUGACAAGGCUGGUUCGUAGAAUUGAUAACAAUGGCUAUACCUUAUUGCACCAUGUUUCUGAUAUGACCCAUCGUUCUGUUGGAAUGUUGCCUAACCCUGCUUUUCAAUUGCAAGACGAAUUGAAAUGGUUUCAGUGCUCUCACAUUGGUGGUGAUGUUCAUCUCCAUCCUCACCUCUCCCUUCAGGCUUCAAGAUUUCCCCAACUCUCUCCCUCGAAAGCUUACCGUGGCCUUCACCUUCCUAUUCCUUGCAGUGGCGGUGACCAUGCUGGCUUUCUUGGCAACUAUAAUUCUGAUUGUUCAUGUGAAGAAGUGAUGGACCACCACUAUUGUAUAUGGCAUGGCUUUUGUUCCGGUGACCGUGUUCGUACUCUUGCAAUUCCCUCUCUACGUAGCGUUUAUGGGCACCGUGAAGUACUCUCUAAGCAUCAUGAAGAAGGCUCUUCCUUGGAAUUUUCUAAUGUCGUUGUUUUGCAAGAAUCAGUACUGAAGAUAGAGAAAACUCAAAGGAGGAGGAAUCUUGUAGUAGAAUCUCUUCAGUCUUCAAUCUUCUUCCAAGCCCAAGCUCUCUCUCUCUAG